CUUACCGUUUGUCCUAAUAAAAUACGGGAGACGGGACAGUGUCUGGUGGGCAGUUUGACUGGGGCGGUCGCCUCCUAAAAGGUAACGGAGGCGUACAAAGGUCGACUCAAGUCCUACAGAAACGGACUUUAAGAGUGCAAAGGCAUAAGUCGGCUUGACUGCGAGUGGUACAUCACAAGCAGGUGCGAAAGCAGGUCUUAGUGAUCCUCACGUGGCUUAUGGGAGCGCGUGAGCUUAACGGAUAAAAGCUACCCCGGGGAUAACAGGCUUAUCUUCCCCAAGAGUCCAUAUCGACGGGAAGGUUUGGCACCUCGAUGUCGGCUCACCGUAUCCUCCUGCUGAAGUAGGCGGGAAGGGUUGGGCUGUUCGCCCAUUAAAACGGUACGCGAGCUGGGUUUCUAUCCGGUGCAAGCGUUUGAUAUUUGAGGGGGGUCGCCACUAGUACGAGAGGACCGUGGUGAGCGAACCUCUAGUGUGCCAGUUGUCACAUCAGUGGCAGUGCUGGGUAGCUACGUUCGUAACUGAGAAGCGCUGAAAGCAUCUAAGCGCCAAACAGGCCCCAAGACUAGAUAUCGUUAAGAUCCGUUGUAGACUACGACGUUGAUAGGCGGCAAGUGUAAAGGCAGUAAUGUUUGUCCACGCUUUGCGUGGGUACGAAUGAAUGCGAAUAUAUGCUUGU
rfam:Microgenomates (Curtissbacteria) bacterium GW2011_GWC2_41_21 TT53_C0041, whole genome shotgun sequence.